rnacentral:lncRNA from 1 species
UGCCGCCAGUCAUCGGCUCCCGCUUCGACCUCUACAGCGUACGGCGCAAGCGUCCGGAGCAACGGCGGCGACCAGCCGUUUGAUACCGAUGCCUACACUAAACGACCCAAUAAUGAGCAGCUCGCGACGAUUACCGCGUACGCCCAGUCGGGCGGCUAGGGCCAUUCAAUCGUCUCGGCUGGGGCGUGGGCUGAGGAGAGAUAGAGAGAGGGUGAGUAGACGAGGAGAAGGGAAAGUGUUAUUUGAAGGAGGAGGGGGCAAGGAAGAGGGACGGCUUGCUGGGCGAGCCCGGCUAGCCACGAGUCGAGGUCCCCCAUCUGGGUCUUCGCGCUGUUCGUUCGGGCCCGGGUUCGGCCCGGUUCCGCUGGUGGCGUUGGCGGCUUCCACACGCUCUCUCCCUCCUCCUGAGUCGGCGACGCCGGAGGCGUGCGCCAGUGUCGGCGUUGGCGCCGCAGCCACCGUCGUCGCUCUCGCCUCGCUGAGGACCCGACGAGGCUGACCCAGUGUGCGAGUGGGCGGGUGAGCGUGUGUGUGUGCGCGCGCGCGAGCUCUCGAGUUUGUGAUCGUCCCGUUGCCGACGCUCUCUCAAGAGUGCGGUUCGUGCAUUGCGCGCUCGAAACAAAUUUCUCUUGGCGGAUGCUUCUUCGCGUCGUCUUGUCUGGCUGUUUCAUUUCUCGGGAUCACAGAGGAAGUUUCCCGCCGACGUGCGCUUGGAGUUAGUUCUUUCCGAAGCCCGAUCGGCCGGUGUGAGGUGGCGGACAGACCACAUGGCCGCGCUGGUAACAUCAAACAAGCUCUCCUUUCGUCUCAAGCAGUUUCGUCUUCGAACGCACUUUGAUGACUGAGACCCAUGUGAUUGGAAGAAGAGCUUUCAUCUCGUAAAACUUGGGAAACGUCCAGUGCUCAUUUCGACGAUCGGGGGGCUUCAAGCUGUUUGAUUCAGACGGCGCGGCUGCGUUAACGGAACAUCAUCACAUACGCACCAAGGACAACUUGAAAUUGGAACUCAAAUACAAAGAACAGAAUUUCAUAGCGUGCAUCAUGUGUCUUGGUUGUCUACUUGUGCUACGAUGGCCGAGGUUUAGAGCCCUG